GAUGAACGCUGGCGGCGUGCCUAAUACAUGCAAGUCGAGCGAACGGACGAUAAGCUUGCUUCUCUGAUGUUAGCGGCUGACGGGUGAGUAACACGUGGAUAACCUACCUAUAAGACUUGGAUAACUUCGGGAAACCGGAGCUAAUACCGCAUAAUAUUUUCAACCGCAUGGUUCAAAAGUGAAAGACGGUCUUGCUGUCACUUAUAGAUGGAUCCGCGCUGCAUUAGCUAGUUGGUAAGGUAACGGCUUACCAAGGCAACGAUGCAUAGCCGACCUGAGAGGGUGAUCGGCCACACUGGAACUGAGACACGGUCCAGACUCCUACGGGAGGCAGCAGUAGGGAAUCUUCCGCAAUGGGCGAAAGCCUGACGGAGCAACGCCGCGUGAGUGAUGAAGGUCUUCGGAUCGUAAAACUCUGUUAUUAGGGAAGAACAUAUGUGUAAGUAACUGUGCACAUCUUGACGGUACCUAAUCAGAAAGCAACGGCUAACUACGUG
rnacentral:rRNA from 1 species